rnacentral:lncRNA from 1 species
UAGAAUAAAAAUUAGAAUUAAAAUAAAAAAACUAAUAAAAAAGAAAAACUGUUGGACUACCAUAAUCAAUCCCAGCCGCUUGGCUGUUGGGUUUUUCAAUGGGGGAUAAGUUGAAAACAUAAAAACAAUUAUUAACUAAACCUAGGAAUUCUAAGCAAAACCUUUAAUGUUUUAAAAAAACCUAUUAUGUUUAAAAAUAAAUCAAGGAAAAGAUAAAUUGGAAUAGUAACAGACUCGUUCUCUCCCCAUCUCACGCUCUCGGCAAGCUCGCUCUCUCCUCUCACGAACUCGCUCCCAAACUCGAAGAAAUCUCUCCCUCUAAAUUGUACCUUCCCCCCCUCAACAGCUCUCUCUCAGACGAGACUCUCUCAACUCUCAUCACCCUCAACGAAUCUCUCAAUCGCAUCUCAACGAAGUCUCUAUCAACAAACACAUGAAAAUGAUAAAAGGAAAAAGGAAAAAUUCUCACAAAGUGUCACGGCGGCGGUGAAAGGCGUGAAGAAGUUGGCCUCCCAAUC